rnacentral:lncRNA from 1 species
AUUCCUUGGACUUAUCGUUUAAGCAUAUAACAUUUAUAUGAGACGGCUCAAACAAUAAUCUUUGCCCUUUAUAAUUAAACUAGAUUAGUUUAACAUGUGAAAUGUUCGUAAAGUAUCAUCACAUGAUUGGUUUUAGGGCACAUUUCCAACAAUCUCCCACUUGCACUAGAGCCAAUCAGCUUGAUCAUCUGUGAUGAUACCUCUUCUGUAGUCAUUUCAUAAAUGGCUGAGUAGUAGGCCUAGACAAUGGAUAUCUAUAUGUUAUCCAUAGAAGCAACCUUGAGAAUAACGACGUCACCAUUAUACAUGAUUCUCAAUCAUGUGGUUCAGUCUCUCAUUUGAGUUCGGACCUUGAUGAGACCUUGAUUCCCUGGCUUGAGUUAUCGCCCCAUUAGUGUCAUACACUUUCUGGUUGGAACCG